rnacentral:rRNA from 1 species
AUUGAACGCUGGCGGCAGGCCUAACACAUGCAAGUCGAACGGUAACAGGAAGAAGCUUGCUUCUUUGCUGCCGAGUGGCGGACGGGUGAGUAAUGUCUGGGAAACUGCCUGAUGGAGGGGGGUAACUACUGGAAACGGUAGCUAAUACCGCAUAACGUCGCAAGACCAAAGAGGGGGACCUUCGGGCCUCUUUCCAUCGGAUGUGCCCAGAUGGGAUUAGCUAGUAGGUGGGGUAACGGCUCACCUAGGCGACGAUCCCUAGCUGGUCUGAGAGGAUGACCAGCCACACUGGAACUGAGACACGGUCCAGGCUCCUACGGGAGGCAGCAGUGGGGAAUAUUGCACAAUGGGCGAAAGCCUGAUGCAGCCAUGCCGCGUGUAUGAAGAAGGCCUUCGGGUUGUAAAGUACUUUCAGCGGGGAGGAAGGGAGUAAAGUUAAUACCUUUGCUCAUUGACGUUACCCGCAGAAGAAGCACCGGCUAACUCCGUG